GACGAACGCUGGCGGCGUGCUUAACACAUGCAAGUCGAACGGAAAGGCCCUGCUUUUGUGGGGUGCCCGAGUGGCGAACGGGUGCGUAACACGUGAGUAACCUGCCCUAGACUUUGGGAUAAGUUCAGGAAACUAGGGUUACUACAGGAUAGCAUCUCCCGUUGCAUGGUGGGGGUUGGAAAGUUUCGGCGGUUGGGGAUGGACUCGCGGCUUAUCAGCUUGUUGGUGGGGUAGUGGCUUACCAAGGCUUUGACGGGUAGCCGGCCUGUGAGGGUGACCGGCCACAUUGGGACUGAGAUACGGCCCAGACUCCUACGGGAGGCAGCAGUGGGGAAUAUUGCACAAUGGGCGGAAGCCUGAUGCAGCAACGCCGCGUGCGGGAUGACGGCCUUCGGGUUGUAAACCGCUUUCGCCUGUGACGAAGCGUGAGUGACGGUAAUGGGUAAAGAAGCACCGGCUAACUACGUG
rnacentral:rRNA from 1 species